UCCGUAGGUGAACCUGCGGUUGGAUCAUUAAACAAAAAUGCAUGGGCUGCUUAAAACUGCCCUUAUGUAUAAGAUGCUCCAUUUUUAGGAGCACUACCUGGGAUACGGAAGUAUGAGAAGUUGCCGGCCCCCAACUAGGGGAGGUCUUCCUUUUAGCUGGGGGUUUUCUUAUAAUUGAGGUUCCCAAGUAUGGCUGGUGUUCUAGAUGGAGAGUCUUAUGCAUAUCCUUCGGGAACAUUGUGUGCACUGUUGUGUCUCUGGCGGUGGGCAGGUGUUUGGGCAUAUGCAAGUAUGCUCGAUGCCCUGUCUGUCAGCCUGGUGUAAAAUGCCAGUGCCGUGGACAAACCGCCGAAUUAUUUAACAACUUGUAAAUUUCAACUUUGAGUCUGACUUUAGUUUUUAUUAAAUUAUAACAAACAACUUUUGGCAACGGAUCUCUUGGCUCUCGCAACGAUGAAGAACGCAGCGAAAUGCGAUAAGUAGUGUGAAUUGCAGAAUUCAGUGAAUCAUCGAAUCUUUGAACGCACAUUGCGCUUCCUGGCAUUCCGGGAAGCAUGCCCAUUUCAGAAUCAUUAAACACACCUCAUCAUCUUGAAUGGUGGACGUUGGACUGUUUGACUUUGGUCAACUGUCUCAAAAUGAUUGUGCUGGCUUCAGGCUGUUGCCGCUUAGCUUUAAAAGGUGCAAAAAGAUGAAUAUUAUUGUUCGCUUCCACCUCUUGAGCUAACCACUAGCAACUCUGUUGUCGUGCACUCCUAAUGCCCAGGUUUUCCACGUAAGCUGGAUGAUCUGUUAACUUGGUCUGAAAUUGGGCAAGAAAACCCGCUGAACUUAAGCAUAUCAAUAAGCGGAGGAAAAGAAACUAACAAGGAUUCCCUUAGUAACGGCGAGUGAAGCGGGAAUAGCUCAAAUUUGAAAUCUCACAGGGCCUGCCUGUGCGAAUUGUAGUUUAGAGAAGCGUUUUCGGGGGCGCCUUGGGUAUAAGUCCUCUGGAAUGGGGCAUCAUAGAGGGUGAGAAUCCCGUUUAUGAUCCAAUGUGCACUUCUAUGUGAUACGCUUUCCAAGAGUCAGGUAGUUUGGGAUUGCUGCCUAAAAUGGGUGGUAAAUACCAUCUAAAGCUAAAUAUUGGCGAGAGACCGAUAGCGAACAAGUACCGUGAGGGAAAGAUGAAAAGAACUUUGAAAAGAGAGUUAAACAGUACGUGAAAUUGCCAAAAGGGAAACGCUUGAAGU
rnacentral:sRNA from 1 species